UACGGGGGGAGCAAGCGUUGUCCGGAAUUAUUGGGCGUAAAGGGCGCGUAGGUGGGACAGCAAGUCUGGGGUGCAAUCUUACGGCUUAACUGUAAGCUUGCCCUGGAUACUACUGUUCUUGAGUUCGGAAGAGGGUAGUGGAAUUCCUGGUGUAGCGGUGAAAUGCGUAGAUAUCAGGAAGAACACCGGUGGCGAAGGCGGCUACCUGGUCCGAUACUGACACUGAGGCGCGAAAGUGCGGGGAGCAAACAGGAUUAGAUACCCUGGUAGUCCGCACAGUAAACGUUGGACACUAGGUGUUGGUCUUUAUGAGAUCAGCGCCGCAGCUAACGCAUUAAGUGUCCCGCCUGGGGAGUACGACCGCAAGGUUGAA
rnacentral:rRNA from 1 species